AACCUUAGGAUAAUGCCA
rnacentral:tRNA from 1 species